rnacentral:rRNA from 1 species
UGGGGAAUUUUGGACAAUGGGCGAAAGCCUGAUCCAGCAAUGCCGCGUGUGUGAAGAAGGCCUUCGGGUUGUAAAGCACUUUUGUCCGGAAAGAAAUCCUUGGCUCUAAUACAGUCGGGGGAUGACGGUACCGGAAGAAUAAGCACCGGCUAACUACGUGCCAGCAGCCGCGGUAAUACGUAGGGUGCAAGCGUUAAUCGGAAUUACUGGGCGUAAAGCGUGCGCAGGCGGUUUGCUAAGACCGAUGUGAAAUCCCCGGGCUCAACCUGGGAACUGCAUUGGUGACUGGCAGGCUAGAGUAUGGCAGAGGGGGGUAGAAUUCCACGUGUAGCAGUGAAAUGCGUAGAGAUGUGGAGGAAUACCGAUGGCGAAGGCAGCCCCCUGGGCCAAAUACUGACGCUCAUGCACGAAAAGCGUGGGGAGCAAACAGGAUUAGAUACCCUGGUAGUCCACGCCCUAAAACGAUGUCAACUAGUUGUUGGGGAUUCAUUUCCUUAGUAACGUAGCUAACGCGUGAAGUUGACCGCCUGGGGAGUACGGUCGCAAAGAUUAAAACUCAAAGGAAUUGAACGGGGUCAUAGCUGUUUCCU